UGGAAACUGGGGAACUUGACUGCAGAAAAGAAAAGCGGAAUUCCACGUGUAGCGAAGAAAUGCGAAAAGAUGUGGAGGAACACCGGGUGGCGAAGGCUGCUUUUUGGUCUGUAACUGACGCUGAGGCGCGAAAGCGUGGGGAGCAAACAGGAUUAGAUACCCUGGUAGUCCACGCCAUAAACGAUGAUUGCUAAGUGUUGGAGGCUUUCCACCCUUUGGUGCUGCAGCUAACGCAUUAUGCACUCCGCCUGGCGAGUACGGUCGCUAGACUGAAACUCAAAGGAUUUGAGGGGGGCCCGCACAGGCGGUGGACCAUGUGGUCCAAUU
rnacentral:rRNA from 2 species